rnacentral:rRNA from 1 species
GACGAACGCUGGCGGCGUGCUUAACACAUGCAAGUCGAGCGGUAAGGCCCUUUCGGGGGUACACGAGCGGCGAACGGGUGAGUAACACGUGGGUGACCUGCCCUCAGCUCUGGGAUAAGCCUGGGAAACCGGGUCUAAUACCGGAUAUGACUCCAUGACGCAUGUUGUGGGGUGGAAAGCCUUGUGCGGCUGAGGAUGGGCCCGCGGCCUAUCAGCUUGUUGGUGGGGUGAUGGCCUACCAAGGCGACGACGGGUAGCCGGCCUGAGAGGGCGACCGGCCACACUGGGACUGAGACACGGCCCAGAUCCUACGGGAGGCAGCAGUGGGGAAUCUUGCGCAAUGGGCGAAAGCCUGACGCAGCGACGCCGCGUGAGGGAUGACGGCCU